UUUUAUAACAUAAGUUCAUUUAUUCGACCUUCGUUGUGUCAAAUAUCUAUUUUAAACAUAGAUAAUUAUUAAGCUAACUUAGGGGUACUUGAAACUCAUAAAACAACAUUAACACCUAAGUUUUUUCCCCGCAGGAACACCAAACUCUUUACAAUAACCAAUGUAGUAUGCGACACGAGCGCUUACAGCGGCUCGUUUCUUACCCGAAAUCCCAAUGAACAUUCUCCAUCCAAAACCACAACGCGGUCCUGAAUGAAACCACCGGGUCACUAGCCACGAUAUCCGGGUUGUUAAGCCCAUCAAACCCGAGGCUCUUUCCGGCUUC
rnacentral:lncRNA from 1 species